GCUCCCUUUAGCAGAACAGACAGUAAAAUUGGAAGGAUACAGAGAAGACUGGCAUGCAACCUGCAUAAGGGUGACAUACAGAUUUGAGAGGCAUUCCAUAAUAAG